GGGUUGUAGCUUAGUAGUUGAGUGCUUGCCUUGCAUGCAUGAGGCACUGGGUUCAAUCCUCAGCACUCA
rnacentral:tRNA from 1 species